rnacentral:lncRNA from 1 species
UUGGAAACAACUUGUAGCUUCAUUACAGACUCGUUUGAAGUUAGUAAAAAUUUGUAGCUUCAUUUUCGGUUGUUUAAAAUUAGAAUCAACUUGUAGUUUCAUUCUUGACUCGCUUGAGCCUGGAAACAACUUGUUGCUUCAUUAUUUGCUAGGUUGAAGUUGGAAACAACUUGUAGCUUCAUUCCAGACUCGUUUGAAGUUGAAAACAACUUGUA